CUACGACCUUGAAGAGGCACAGUUAAGACCUUUACUCUAGUUACAGCAAUAAGCCCACCUCUGCCUGAGAGGCCAGUACAUCAGGGCUCUCCCUGUCCGACAUCACCCGACCCGUAACAGUCCACAGACUCUUCUGGAGAGGACUGGAGCUCAAGCAAGUGCGCCAUAGUGACAAUUCCAGGACUUCACUGCUCUCCCCGUCGGAGCUCCCUUUUGUUCAAAACACUUCUUAAGUUACAACUCGCCGAGGUGACCAUGCUUCCACGUGACUGUGACUCACUUCCUUGUGUGAUGUGUGACUUCAGCGUUAGCACUUGAGCUUCAUGGAAUGUCACAGAUUCUUCAGCAGAAACUGAUGACUUCAGCUCUCUAAGCUCAAACGUCCCCCUGGCUGCUUACUAAGUAUUUACUGCCUUGUGAGAUCCAUGGCCGCUCGGGUAUGGUGAGAAGCCCCUGGAAGAAGCUCAGGGAGAGUGGAUCUGGCGGCAGCAGGCCUGGCUGGAGACCUGAGCUCUCUCUUGUCAUGCUCUUGGUCCUUGGCCAUGAUCAGGGCCCUGCUGUAAGCAUCCUUCUCUGCCUCUUUAACAUCCAGCCUCUCAUUUUCUCUUGACUUUGUGUAUCUCUCCCAUGGUCCUUACUUUGUGUAGCCAUGGCAGGCCAGAAACAUUCGAGAGAGUCGCUUAAAAGGUGGAAAGAUUUCUUUUUUUUUUUUUUUUUUUUGGACUCGUGGUUUUAGAGGGCUCACAGCGAAAGGCUGGUGUGCGGGAAGGAAGCAACCCCUGUUUCAUGCUUCCAUGCUCGGAUCUGUAAUCGUUUGAGGUCUGCUUUAUGUUUGGUAGGAGGGAGAGCUAAACUCCAUGUCUCAUUAUUUGUGUAGAUAAUGGACGCACCACCGAGUACUGAAAGCAGCCAUUCUCCCUUCUCUCGGCAGCAAGUAAUGACUAAGGACCCUAACUGACACCACUCUCUCCCACCAGCCUGUUCUUGUCCUAACAUCACAUCCUGGCUUAGUAAGAAGUCUUGGUAUCUUAUGAGGCCAGUCUUGGCAUUGUGUUUCCUUGGAUACCUGGAAAUUGUAUUUCCCUGUGAAUUUUAGAGUCAAUUUAUUGAUUUUUCACAUGAAUGCACACCUGUAGGGAUCUGCAGGGACUCUGACUAGAACUUUAUUAAAUCUUCCAAUCAAUUUCAACCCUAUUAUCAAAAGGUAAUAUCAUUACCAGGUCUCCCCUUUAACUUUGUCUUCUUCUCCUCAUAUUCUCAGCCCAUGGUCACUGUGCGCUUCCCACUUAUUUAAGUCUGCCUUUGUCUUUCUCAAUAGCAUCCCAUUACCUUGAACUAAAUAUGUCGUUAGACUUUCUUCCUUUCUGAUUUUAUACACUGCACUCAAC
rnacentral:lncRNA from 1 species